rnacentral:rRNA from 1 species
GUCUACCAUGCAGUCGAGCGGAUGAAGGGAGCUUGCUCCCUGAUUUAGCGGCGGACGGGUGAGUAAUGCCUAGGAAUCUGCCUGGUAGUGGGGGAUAACGUUCCGAAAGGAACGCUAAUACCGCAUACGUCCUACGGGAGAAAGCAGGGGACCUUCGGGCCUUGCGCUAUCAGAUGAGCCUAGGUCGGAUUAGCUAGUUGGUGAGGUAAUGGCUCACCAAGGCGACGAUCCGUAACUGGUCUGAGAGGAUGAUCAGUCACACUGGAACUGAGACACGGUCCA